rnacentral:rRNA from 1 species
AUACGGAAGGUCCGGGCGUUAUCCGGACUUAUUGGGUUUAAAGGGAGCGCAGGCGGAGAUGCAAGCGUGACGUCAAAUUUCGGGGCUCAACCCCGUCUCGCGUCGCGAACUGCGUCCCUUGGUUGCGGGAAGGGGAGGCGGAACUCGUGGUGUAGCGGUGAAAUGCAUAGAUAUCACGAAGAACUCCGAUCGCGAAGGCAGCCUUCCGGCCCGUCAACGACGCUCAUGCUCGAAGGUGCGGGUAUCAAACAGGAUUAGAUACCCUGGUAGUCCGCACAGUAAACGAUGGACACCCGCGGUUUGGCCUGUAUGGCUGAGCCGCCAAGCGAAAGCGUUAAGUGUCCCACCUGGGGAGUACGCCGGCAACGGUGAAACUCAAAUGAAUUGACGGGG